GACGAACGCUGGCGGCGUGCUUAACACAUGCAAGUCGAGCGGUAAGGCCCUUUCGGGGGUACACGAGCGGCGAACGGGUGAGUAACACGUGGGUGACCUGCCCUCAGCUCUGGGAUAAGCCUGGGAAACCGGGUCUAAUACUGGAUAUGACUCCAUGACGCAUGUUGUGGGGUGGAAAGCCUUGUGCGGCUGAGGAUGGGCCCGCGGCCUAUCAGCUUGUUGGUGGGGUGAGGCCUACCAAGGCGACGACGGGUAGCUGGCCUGAGAGGGCGACCGGCCACACUGGGACUGAGACACGGCCCAGACUCCUACGGGAGGCAGCAGUGGGGAAUCUUGCGCAAUGGGCGAAAGCCUGACGCAGCGACGCCGCGUGAGGGAUGACGGCCUCGGUUGUAACGUAC
rnacentral:rRNA from 1 species